UUCUCCUCACCGAAGCAAUUGAUUGCAAGAGCUAAUCAAGUGCUUGGGUUUUGCCAUUCACCCAAGCACUUGGUUCUUCACAAUUCCUUCGAUUUUUGGAACCAGGUCAGAUAGUCACACAUGCUUUUACAUCCUCACCUCUCUCCCUCUCUCCCUCGCAUCCCUCGCAUCUCUCCCUCGCAUCCGUCCUCUCUCCUCUCGCAUCUCCUCUCUCAUGCUUGUUCUCCGAGCUGUAUUCACAACAGUGGUGACUUUGAAAGCGGCGUGUAUUGUGGUGAGGAUGUCGGUGGCACUUUAAUAUCUUUCUUAGGGUUCCGUGCGCUUCCGAUUUGGUUUUUCUUGAUGGGGCUUAGCCAUUGCAAACCACAUAAGUAGUGGGAGUAAGGACUUCAACAAAAUAUGAAAGAAAUAACUUAUGCAUAAGACCUAGUGGAUUCUUUAAUAAAAGCGGGAGAUAAUGUGGUGUCGUUGAUUUUCUCUCUCCUGGAUAUGGAGGUUACAGGCUCUUCAUCCUAAGCUGCUAAUGCAACAUUCAUAUGCUCUGGAGAAGCCUGCCCCCAGACAUUGCUCAUUGUGAUAAGAGUUCUAAACUCGACUUGCCAUGUUGUUGUGUGCAUAAUUCGGCACUGGCUAGGACAAAUCAGUUGAUCCUUGUGGUUACAUACUUAAAUGCCUGUGAAAGUUGUCGGGCCCUUCCAGUUUCCUCUCUGUAUAUAGUUUGUUAAAAUGCUCGUGUUAGUGUUAGUUAUGUUAACUUAUACUGUUAUACAAUAUUAGAUAUGAUAUUGAAUUAUUUACUUCUAAAUUUUGUAAAUUACUAUUGAAUAGAGUUGAGUUUAUAUUCAAGAUCGACAUUAUAGUCUUUAUUAUUAUAUAA